ensembl:lncRNA
AUGGAGGAAAGGCUUAUCAGUGCGGUGGCUAACUAUCCAGAGCUGUAUGAUGCUAGCUGCUACUUUUACCGAGACAGGAAUAAAAAGGACCGAGCUUGGAGGCACAUAAGUGAGGAGAUCGGGCAACCUGAGGACAUCUGCAGGAGAAAGUGGAAGAGCCUCAGGGACACAUAUAAUAAGGAGAAGAGGACGGAGAAGGACAAGAGGAGUCUGCAGCAGGAUCGAGGAAGAGAUAGAAGUUCUUCGCGGUCAUGGGGUUUCUGGACCCCUUCCUCACCCCGCGGGAGACUAGCGGCAAUAUGGUGCGGACCGUGGAGAACUUCCCCCCCGAGGACCAGGGACAGCCCGGAGAGGCAGCAGGGGAGUGUCAGUCAGAAGAGCCAACUGAUUCUGCAGCAGAGCCAUCCCCUGUCCCUGGUCCCUCAGCUCCUGCUGCUGCACCCACAGGCCCACAGAGGAGGACAGCUCAAAGGCGGUCGAGGGACGGGUCCCAGGACGGUCCAUCGGCGGUGGAGCUGGCCAUCCUGGAGUCCCUGAAGAGGCCACGCCAGUCUCCAACGGAGCAUUUCCUCCUCGGCCUUGUUCCUGCUCUGGAGAGCAUGCCGCCUCAGACACGAGAAUGUACACAAAUGUAUAAAUUAGUUUUUGAAAACAGCACAGCUGUGUUAAAUUUGGAAACAUUAGACCCUAGCGAUCAGUAGUUUUCUGAUGAGGCAGCAGCUCUCCAGGGCAGAAACAAUGUUGUUAUUUUUCUCCUCCUUCUCCCUGAGGCUCUUCCACUCCAAGCUGGGUCCUUUUUAUUCCUGUCUCUCUGUAAAUAGUUACAUUUUAUAUAUUUAUGUUUAAUGUUUUUGUUAGUGAAUUUUAAUAUUUUUUCCAAUAAACAUUUGUAAUAACU